CCCCAGAGUCCCUGCUUUGUAAGUGCAGAUAUUGGCAGAUCUGCAAUCGGCCCAUGCACCUGCAUCUGUCUCUUGAAUGUUCUGCUAUUCUCAUCAACACCUGAAGAAGAAAGGAAGCAGCAUUGGAGAGAGGGGAGAUCCUGACUGAAGGAUUCACCUAGUAAGCCUGUUUGAAUUCAUGAGAGCACCUGGGCCCCAGAAAGAAAGAAGAAUGACUGAUGAGAGCUGCCUGAGAAGGAAAAGAGACUCAGAGGCAGACAGGAGCAGCAGGGAAGAGCUGUUGGAGAUGGAGAGGUACAAUGGAGAGAUAGCAGAAGUAACUGGGAGAGAGCUACAGGAGACCUGGGAGAGGGAGAGAGCUAAUGGUGAUGAGAGCUGGUUCAGAGAGUUGCUGGGACUGGAGGAACAGAAGGUGAAAAUACCCUGCCAAGCUUCAGGAUAGCUCACGCAGAGGCCCUGGGAAAAGGGCAAGAACCAGCUUGAUUAGAGAAGCCAAGUCUGAAAACAAAAGGGUUGCCACUCAAGAGUGGCUCCCAGGAGCAGGCAUUAGACUCACAGACAGGGAGGCCUGGAGGCGUAGAACACCGUGGAUAGUCCUCCUCUUGCAGCAGGUCUGAGUGAUGGGCGGCAGGCAGCCAAGCCAGAAACAAGAUAAUUGAUUCUGGAUGUUCCCAGAGUAGAGGUAGAACUCACAGGCAGGGAGGCUUGGGGAGUGCAACACUGCGAGGCACCGUCUUGCAGGAUACCCAGCUUGGGGGCUGCAGCAGCAGAGGUGUGGGAGAGUAGCAACUUUGGUUACUAUCAGGUAGAUGGCCUCGAGAGUGGGGCCCUGGAACAAGGACAGAAAAGCUGCGAACUGAGUGGACACUGACAGAGGUGGACAAUCUCAAAAUGGUAUUUCUGGAGGGGGCAUGGAAAACUACUGGGAUUCUCUUGUACUUUGGGAUUUGGAAAGAACAUUUUUGAUCAUGAGAGUUCUGUGAACUAUUUUACAUGUACAGGAAUAAAACUAUGCCCAACAGUGGGAUUUUGAAUGAACACUCAGAGAGAUUGUGUUCCUUUUUAUAGACAGGUAUACCAGCACACUGUAGGAGAGUGCUCAAGGUGGAGGCUGCCCUGCUACAGGAGGAUUCAGAUUUCAGGUUCCAUUUUGGUGCCCAUCUAUAAUUAUUACAUUUGAGGUAUAUUAGCUAAGGUCAUAAUAUGUCCUACACUCACUCCAUUCUUAGGUCUUGGCUUAUAAUUUGUAGGGCACAAAGUUUCCAGAAGGGGAACUCAGGAAAUGAGUUGCCUGUCUCCGUGGUCUUGCUGUUAAGGAAUGGUGAGGAGGGAUGCACUUUGUCUGGCUAUGAGCUAUUUCCUCUUUCUCUGGCUCCAUGCCAGAGAUGCAAUGAAUUGCAGAGUAUUUAUGGACCAAGGGAAGACAAAUGUUGUCUUGUUUUGCUUGUACUUAGGAGUGGCCUUCUAAGCUAUAAUGAGCAUAAUAUGCAAAACAAUACCAAGCAUAUCAAGGUGGGUGGUUUCAUCACAUUAACCAAACAAGCCCUGUCAGCUGUUGAUAGAGGUACUCCUGGACAGAUAGCCAGUUUGGUCCCAAUCCAUUUCUAAUCAAAGAAUACAAAUGAAGGAGUGCAAAAAUGGCAACAUCGUGCCCUAGUUAAUUUGUGAAUGGGUUUAGUAAAAAUAACAAUAUCUUCCAUGGUAAGUUCUCUCUCUGAGUAAAGAAUGUGUGAGCCUGUAUGUUGUCAUGUCUAGGGACUGCACAACUGCUCUCACUGAAGGUAAUUUGAGAAUAAAGAAACAGACAGUGUACUUCAGUGACAUAAAAAAGUAAUGCUUGCUUGACUGUUCCUCUGUGCUCUUAAAAGCAUCACAAGCCUGACUAAUUUGUGUUUGCCUUUAAUUGUAGUAAGAAGGAGUAAGAAUACUCAUGGAACAGCCAAAAAGCAUUCACAAUGAAAUGUUUUCAUAGAGAACAGUUUUUCCUGCAAACUUAGGGCUCUUAAGGUGAUAUAGCAAUUGUAUUUAACAGGAGCAUUAUUAAAAG